rnacentral:rRNA from 1 species
AUUGAACGCUGGCGGCAGGCCUAACACAUGCAAGUCGAACGGCAGCGGGGGGUAGCUUGCUACUCUGCCGGCGAGUGGCGGACGGGUGAGUAAUGCCUGGGGAGCUGCCCAAUCGAGGGGGAUACCAGUUGGAAACGACUGCUAAUACCGCAUACGCCCUGAGGGGGAAAGGUGGGGAUCUUCGGACCUACCGCGAUUGGAUGCACCCAGGUGGGAUUAGCUAGUUGGUGAGGUAACGGCUCACCAAGGCGACGAUCUCUAGCUGGUCUGAGAGGAUGACCAGCCACACUGGAACUGAGACACGGUCCAGACUCCUACGGGAGGCAGCAGUGGGGAAUAUUGCACAAUGGGGGAAACCCUGAUGCAGCCAUGCCGCGUGUGUGAAGAAGGCCUCGGUUGUAAG